GAUGAACGCUGGCGGCGUGCCUAAUACAUGCAAGUCGAGCGAACAGAUGAGGAGCUUGCUCCUCUGACGUUAGCGGCGGACGGGUGAGUAACACGUGGAUAACCUACCUAUAAGACUGGGAUAACCUCGGGAAACCGGAGCUAAUACCGGAUAAUAUAUUGAACCGCAUGGUUCAAUAGUGAAAGACGGUUUUGCUGUCACUUAUAGAUGGAUCCGCGCCGCAUUAGCUAGUUGGUAAGGUAACGGCUUACCAAGGCAACGAUGCGUAGCCGACCUGAGAGGGUGAUCGGCCACACUGGAACUGAGACACGGUCCAGACUCCUACGGGAGGCAGCAGUAGGGAAUCUUCCGCAAUGGGCGAAAGCCUGACGGAGCAACGCCGCGUGAGUGAUGAAGGUCUUCGGAUCGUAAAACUCUGUUAUUAGGGAAGAACAAAUGUGUAAGUAACUAUGCACGUCUUGACGGUACCUAAUCAGAAAGCCACGGCUAACUACGUG
rnacentral:rRNA from 1 species